rnacentral:rRNA from 1 species
CCUACGGGGGGCAGCAGUGGGGAAUAUUGGGCAAUGGGCGCAAGCCUGACCCAGCAACGCCGCGUGAAGGAAGAAGGCUUUCGGGUUGUAAACUUCUUUUCUCAGGGACGAAGCAAGUGACGGUACCUGAGGAAUAAGCCACGGCUAACUACGUGCCAGCAGCCGCGGUAAUACGUAGGUGGCAAGCGUUAUCCGGAUUUACUGGGUGUAAAGGGCGUGUAGGCGGGAAAGCAAGUCAGAUGUGAAAACCAUGGGCUCAACCUGUGGCCUGCAUUUGAAACUGCAUGGCUGGAGUGCGGGAGGGGCAGGCGGAAUUCCUGGUGUAGCGGUGAAAUGCGUAGAUAUCAGGAGGAACACCGGCGGCGAAGGCGGCCUGCUGGACCGCGACUGACGUUGAGGCUCGAAAGCGUGGGGAGCGAACAGGAUUAGAUACCCGGGUAGUC